UCUGUAUUCAACAGAGCAUCUAAGUUUGAGUCCUUCACCUCCCUUAAGUUCUCCCAGCACACCUGGAAGUGCACACGUAGCUUUUGUUCCCCCUUGGGGACAGGGAGACCCUGACCCCACCUUCCUCUUUUAAGCAGCUGAGAUCAGGGUAAAAGCAAUGGUGGGAGGAAUCUGGGGCUGUGUAAGGAGAGAGUGGCUUCAUGUCAGUAAGCAAAGCAUAUUUUCUUUCCACUUUGAGUGACCCAGAGGCGGUUAUUGGUACAACCAAAACUAAUUUUCAAAGUUUUCAGAUUAUCCAAGCCCUCUCUCAGUUUUGGGCGCCCUUGAUCCUUUCUCCUCCCUUCCAGAGGAGAGUGAACAACAACUAAAACACCAUUUAGAUGAUUUAUUUCAAUCUUAUCUUUUGCUGCUCAGACUCUAGACAUUCAAGAACAGGUAGAACAGUGGGAGACCCUCACUCUUCCUAACUGCCCUUGCCUACCACUACUAGGUAUUCACUACUGGGUAAAUACCUCCGUGGGGAGUUGUCUCAUAAAUUCUAACUCAGUCCUUAUUCUUUCUCUUUCAAACAGCCAUGUCUGUCAGCAUCCUAUUUUUGUUGCCAAAAGCUUUCAAGUAAGCUGCCACAGUUUUAUGGAUGCCGGCAGAAGACAUGAAGACUCCUGGGUCAGGAGGACUUAAUUACUCACAUGACAACAGGCAGCAUGAACUUCAUGUUCAUACCGUUCAUGCCCCCACAAGUCUCAUGGAUGUGAUGUGUGGAAGCCCCGGUGAAAGCUGCACAUGCAGUGGGGUUCUUGUGGAAACAUGUGCUGAUGAGGAGGUGCCAUAAUACCAAAGUAGCCUAGAAGGUGGACCAACGCACAGAGGAAUAUGAGCCUCAAGGGACUUUAUGUGAACAAGAAUUAAAUUUUGGUUAAGCCCAUGA